rnacentral:rRNA from 1 species
CCUACGGGAGGCAGCAGUGGGGAAUAUUGCACAAUGGGGGAAACCCUGAUGCAGCGACGCCGCGUGAGUGAAGAAGUAUCUCGGUAUGUAAAGCUCUAUCAGCAGGGAAGAAAAUGACGGUACCUGACUAAGAAGCCCCGGCUAACUACGUGCCAGCAGCCGCGGUAAUCCGUAGGGGGCAAGCGUUCAUCGGAAUUACUGGGGGUAAAGCGAUCGUAGGCGGUAUGUCAAGUCAAGGGUGAAAUCCCCGCGCUCAACGUGGGAACUGCCUUUGAACCUGGCAAACUGGAGUGUGUGAGAGGAUAGUGGAAUUCCAGGGGUAGGAGUGAAAUGCGUAGAUAUCAGGAGGAACAUCAGUGGCGAAGGCGACUAUCUGGAACAUAACUGACGCUGAGGAGCGAAAGCGUGGGUAGCAAACAGGAUUAGAUACCCCUGUAGUC